rnacentral:lncRNA from 1 species
GACAGAUUUCCAAGGCUGUGUGACAGCUCUGCCCCAAACCUGCUUGGGCACAUUCACUCCCUGCCUCCAUUUCCCAGUUCUUCUGUUUCUUCAUGGGCAGGGACGGUUUCUCUUUGUGUGGCUGUGCUGUAUCUGGUGUAAUAACAACUCUGCAUUGGUUGGGUGCUGCGUGUAAUGUGUAGGGUUGCAAUGCUUAUGGCUGCAAGGUGUAGGGCUGCAGUGCCUAGGGCUGCAAGGUGUAGGGCUGCAAUGCUUAGGGCUGCAAUGUGCAGGGCUACGAUGCUUAGGGAUGCAAGUUGUAGGGCUGCAAUGCUUAGGGCUGCAAUGUGCAGGGCUACGAUGCUUAGGGAUGCAAGGUGUAGGGCUGCAAGGUGUAGGGCUGCAAUGCUUAGGAAUGCAAGAUGUAGGGCUGCAGUGCUUAAGGCUGCAAGGCAUAUGGCUGCAAGGUGUAGGGCUGCAAUGCUUAGGACCACAGUGUGCAAUAGCUGUUGGAGAGGGGAUGUUGCAGCACCUGUGAGCCGUGUGUGCAGUUCACAGUGCCUCUGGGAAGUAGCUAUGCCACCUCUCUUUGAGACAGGGACAGCAGUGAAGCCAUAUGGUGUUUAUCGUCUUUGCCAACACACAAAGGAGGGGAAUAACCCCUGAAGGAACGUGG